rnacentral:rRNA from 1 species
UACGAGGGGAGCGAGCGUUGUUCGGAAUUACUAGGGCGUAAAGGGCGCGCAGGCGGUCCUUCAAGUCAGAUGUGAAAAGCCCCGGGCUCAACCUGGGAACUGCAUUUGAGAACUGGAGGACUUGAGGACGGGAGAGGAGAUGUGGAAUUCCCAGUGUAGAAGGUGAAAUUCGUAGAUAUUGGGAAGAACACCGAUGGCGAAGGCAGCUCGUCUGGACCGUUACUGACGCUGAG